rnacentral:piRNA from 1 species
UAACAUAUCCGGGAGACCAAGAAGCUGC